CAUUACACGGUAGACAGUGAGAGAAACUGUAAACCAGCAAAUUAAGGCCAGAAUUACAAGGGAUGACAUUUUAUUUUAUUCAGACUGAAGACUAAGUAGUUUGGAGUAACAGUGUGACUUUCUAUUUCAGGGUAUAGAUAAGAAGACAUGGUUAUUUAUGCAGAAAGUAAAUCUCAUAAACAUUUACUAUUUCACUCGGGAGUAAGGAAUCUUCUCAAUGCUUAUGGAUCACAAUAUUUAUCUUUGACUAUCCUGGUAAUUGCUAUGUGAAUCAUGUUCACCUAGAAGACAUAGAGACCUGCCUACUUCUACCUCUGGAGUAUUGGGAUUAAAGAUGUGUAUCACCA